UGUUGGGGUAACGGCCCAACAAGCCAUUGAUCGGUACGGGUUGUGGGAGCAAGAGCCCGGAGAUGGAUUCUGAGACAUGAAUCCAGGCCCUACGGGGCGCAGCAGGCGCGAAAACUUUACAAUGCGGGAAACCGUGAUAAGGGAAUCUCGAGUGCCAGCAUAUAAUGUUGGCUGUCCAGAUGCCUAAAAAGCAUCUGUUAGCAAGGGCCGGGCAAGACCGGUGCCAGCCGCCGCGGUAACACCGGCGGCCCGAGUGGUAACCGUUAUUAUUGGGUCUAAAGGGUCUGUAGCCGGCCGGAUAAGUCUCUUGAGAAAUCUGGCAGCUUAACUGUCAGGCUUUCAGGAGAUACUGUCUGGCUCGAGGCCGGGAGAGGUGAGAGGUACUUCAGGGGUAGGGGUGAAAUCUUGUAAUCCUUGAAGGACCACCAGUGGCGAAGGCGUCUCACCAGAACGGACCUGACGGCAAGGGACGAAAGCUAGGGGCACGAACCGGAUUAGAU
rnacentral:rRNA from 1 species